rnacentral:rRNA from 1 species
UACGUAGGGGGCAAGCGUUGUCCGGAUUCAUUGGGCGUAAAGAGCGUGUAGGCGGCCAGGUAGGUCGGUUGUGAAAACUGGAGGCUCAACCUUCAGAGGUCGACCGAAACCAUCUGGCUAGAGUCCGGGAGAGGAGAGUGGAAUUCCUGGUGUAGCGGUGAAAUGCGCAGAUAUCAGGAAGAACACCCGUGGCGAAAGCGGCUCUCUGGAACGGUACUGACGCUGAGACGCGACAGCGUGGGGAUCAAACAGG